rnacentral:rRNA from 1 species
AACGAACGCUGGCGGCACGUUUUAAGCAUGCAAGUCGAAUGGCAGCAGGGGCAACUCUGUGAGAAUGGCGAACGGGUGAGUAACACGUAGGUGAUCUGCCUUGAGGAUGGGGAUAGCCUGUGGAAACACAGGGUAAUACCGAAUGAGCUGACGUGACUUUGGUUUUGUUAGUAAAGGUGCUACGGCACCGCCUUGAGAGGAGCCUGCGGCUGAUUCGCUAGUUGGUGGGGUAAGAGCUUACCAAGGCGACGAUCAGUAGCCGGCCUGAGAGGGUGUACGGCCACACUGGAACUGAGACACGGUCCAGACUCCUACGGGAGGCAGCAGCUAAGAAUCUUCCGCAAUGGGCGAAAGCCUGACGGAGCGAUGCCGCGUGAUCGAUGAAGGUCGAGAGAUUGUAAAGAUAUUUUCUACAUGAGGAAUAAGUCUGGGAGGGAAUGCCCGGAUGAUGACGUUAGUGUAGGAAUAAGCCCCGGCUAAUUACGUGCCAGCAGCCGCCGUAA